CAAAGGGAGGCGCGAUGGGCGGUGCGUCCCGAGGACGUCUGGCAAGAUGGCGGCGCCCCCGGACAUGGAGCUUUCGCCAAGCCUCAGCCUGGAGCUGCUCCCCACAGACCCGCUGCUGCUCAUCCUCAGCUUCCUCGACUACCGGGAUCUGGUGAGUUGCUGCUAUUUGAAUCGAAGAUUAAAUCAGCUAUCAAACCAUGACCCACUGUGGAAAAGACACUGCAAAAAAUACUGGCUCAUUUCAGAGGAGGAAAAAAGCCGACGGAAUCAAGGCUGGAGAGCCAUCUUCAUCAGCACCUACUCUGAUUUAGGAAGAUACAUCCACUACUAUGCCACGUUGAAAAAAGCCUGGGAUGACCUGAAGCAAUACUUGGGGCAGUGGUGUCCACGCAUGAUCAGCUCUUUGAAAGAGAGUGUGAGGGAGGAAGAUCUGGAUGCUGUGGAAGCACAAAUCCGCUGCAAACUCCCCGAUGACUAUCGCUGUUCAUUCCGUAUCCAUAAUGGGCAGAAGUUGGUUGUUCCAGGUCUGAUGGGAAGCAUGGCCCUGUCGAACCACUACCGCUCUGAAGACCUGCUGGACAUCGACACGGCAGCUGGAGGCUUCCAGCAGAGGCUGGGACUCAAGCAGUGCCUGCCCCUGACCUUCUGCAUCCACACUGGCCUCAGUCAAUACAUGGCCUUGGAGAGUGUGGAGGGACGAAAUAAAUAUGAGAUCUUCUAUCAAUGUCCAGACCAAAUGGCUCGCAAUCCAUCUGCUAUUGUUAUGUUCAUUACAGGUACAUCUUACUUGGAAUGGUUUACAUCCUAUGUAAACAAAGUUGUCACUGGAGGUUAUCCUAUCAUCAGAGACCAGAUUUUCAGGUAUGUGCAUGAUAAAGACUGUGUUGCUACCACAGAAGAUAUCACUGUGUCUGUGUCCACCUCUUUUCUACCUGAACUCAGUUCUGUACAUCCACCACAUUAUUUCUUCACUUACAGAAUCAGAAUUGAAAUGUCCAAAGAUGCCCUUCCUGAGAAUACCUGUCAGCUGGAGAGUCGAUACUGGAGAAUAACAAAUGCCAAAGGUGAUGUGGAGGAAGUCCAAGGUCCUGGAGUAGUUGGAGAAUUCCCAGUUAUCAGCCCAGGGAAAGUCUACGAGUACACCAGCUGUACCACGUUUUCCACAACCUCUGGAUACAUGGAGGGCUACUACACCUUUCACUGCCUCUACAACAAGGACAGAUUCUUUAACGUCACAAUCCCUAGGUUUCAUAUGGUGUGUCCAAUGUUCAAGGUGUCUACAGCAUGAACGGCAACAAAUGCUAAUGAGUCUGCAGUGGAUGAAGACCAGGAUUCCACAGGCGCUGAUGACUGCCGAGAUCCACGUAGAGUGUUGGACGUUCCUGCACCCUCUGGAUGCUGCCCAUGUCACACUAGUGGGAUUUUUUCCCAAACAACCUGUUUGCAUAAGCUGAACUCUUCAGGGCUAGUGCAUAGGAAUAUUUCUGACUGUUGUAAAUGAACUCUGUUGCACAUCAGGGCAACUAGCAUGAAUGUUGGUGCCAGUUCUCAUAUUCAUUAGAGUAUAACUUCUGUUUCACUGGUUUGGAAGUGGGGGAAGAGGGAGGAAAACGGGGAGGAAGAGGAAGGUGUUUGGGCUUUGUUCACUUAUUCCUGAAGUGUGAAACAGUUUGAUAGUCCAAGGUACUCAUAUCUUACAUUUUCAAAGUAUUGCCUAUUUAUGAUCAUACUGCAAAUAUGGUGUGGGUAUUUGGUUUUAUACAAAGCAUUAAAAGGGUGUAUCCUGUUGUCAUUUCUCGUGAGUUUCUGCUCUGGAUAACUGCUGCUAAGAAUGAAACUUGCAGUUUGGUCUGAAUAUCCCAUUUGGGUGAGAUUAGGUGCUGUUCUGCUUUUUAAUUAUUUUUUUUAAUUAACAUAGUAACAGCAAAAAAUUCUGGUCUUCAAAAUGUAUAAAUUAGGAGUGAAACUGGCCUUAUUUUUAGACAAUCUGUUUGUCAGCUGGAUUUUAUGCUAAGUGACUCUGACUGGAGAAUGCCUCUGGGAAUGUAGUGUCCAUGCAUAAUCUGCCACUCGUUAACUAAGGAAUUUCUCAAUGACUACAGAGUAUGGAUUUGUAAAUAUGUUUUGAGGGUUUUUUCCCCGUUACAUGAUGUUUGCUGUUGUCAUAGGUGACAAAUCUAUGUUAUGUAUCAUGUUUUCCUGAGCCCUGGAUGAAUUUUUGUAACUGAAUACAAAAUAAAAGGAAAAAAAAGGGGAGAGGCUGGCAGAACAGCAGAUGACUAGAAAAUUUAUAUUUAAAGAAGUAUCUGUUUGCUUUAUCCUUUUUGGGUUUUUUUUGUUGUUGUUUUUUAUUUUUUUUUUUUUGUCAUUAAUAAACAACUUGACUGCCUGUUUUGUUCUCAAGUGCUACAUAGGACUGUUUUUGCCAAGACUUGAGCAAUAAUUUUGUGACCAGCAUUGGUGUAGUCAGUUCUUUUGACAGCCAGAAUUUGUAGGUUUAAUGAGGUAGACUGGUAUAUUGUUGUUCCAGCUCAAAUUUUCCAUUAUUGACUAAUUUCCAGAUUUCUCUUUUUUUUUGCAAGUCCAGGUUUUGGAUUCUUCAUGUGCUCAGCUUUCCCUGGUGCAUUUUCCACAGUGGCACAAGGUAGAAAAACAAAUACUGAGUCUGAUCCCUACCACAGUUGCUAGGUGAAACAUCUCCAGAAACAAAACCAGCUUGUGUUGUCCCUCACAGGAGUCAGAACAGCACUGAGUUGCUGGAGUGCUUCCAAAACAUAAGGAUUUUUGAGGAUUACCACACAAUUACCUGUGAGGGAUAAGAAAUUAUCACAAAAGUUUUGUCAAGGAUCAGUAUGAGAAGGUUUUAGUGGAACUAGAAUUUUCUGCAGGGUUGUUGGUGCACUGUGUGUUUCCAAGGACAGAUAACCCUCAUGGUUGGAGGCUGUUCUUGAGAAAUUUCCUCCUAGGAUCUCUAUGUUCUAGUACAGUGGAAUCAGCUCGAGGACAUGGGACUCUACACAACAAACAGUGCUAACUCUUGGCAAUUUCACUCAUUUUUAGGGAGUGGUUCUCCCUUGGAUUGUUACAGAUGAGCUGGAAUUCUUGACUGAGAAGUCAAGAUGCAGGACAGUGCUGUGCUUUCAGCCUCUGAGAGCUGCGGUGCCAGGGUUUGAGACCUCAGCUUUGGGCGUAGCUGGUGGCAGAGGGGUCUGGAGUGAGGAGGGAACCAGGCAGGGAAUUGAGGGAUUGCUGCUCCUCCCCUGAGCACAAAUGUGUUUGUAGCAGGCCAAAGGGUGUUUCUUUGCUUCAGGCAGCUAUUUUAUCACAGGGUCGACAGCCUGGAGCUGCCAACAGCGCUGCAGCUCCUCAUGAUGUGCAUUUGAAGUGGGGCUGAAGCCAGUGGCUCUGCUCGCCCCUCCCAAGAGGUGUGAAUCUCAGAAUCAUGGAAUGAAUGUGAAAUGAACAACAAAGGAGUUGAUGAUGUUUGGCAGCACUGCUGGACUGUGGGAACGUUUACUGAGCAGCAGGAGAGAACUGAGUCGAGGUCCUGCUGCUGCAGACAGCACCUCACUGCUCUGGGUGAGCACAGGUGUGGGAUAGUGUCAUUCCAGUGCAUCCAGCUGUCCAACACUCCCUGUAGUCACUGGAAUCCUGGGAAUGUCCUUCCCUUUGGCCACCAUCCUGCAAGCUCAGCCUGAAGCUCUGCCACCUUCUCCUGACUCAGAUCUGACUGAUGCUUGGUUAGGACUUCACCUGGCCAGGAUUCCUUAAACAUUUUUGUGGGAUUUUGCUGGCUGAAUAGUUUCAUGGAGGGGACCUUUGGACACGAUUUCUUUGCUGUGAUGCAUCACAGAGAGAAAAACAAGUGGUGUGCCAGCCAGUGAAAUAAAAAAAACAACUGAAA